UCCGGUUGAUCCUGCCGGACCUGACUGCUAUCGGAUUAAUACUAAGCCAUGCGAGUUUUUGUAGUAAUACAAGGCAUACGGCUCAGUAACACGUAGUCAACCUACCCUAUGGACGAGGAUAAUCUCGGGAAACUGAGCAUAAUACUCGAUAGAUCAUAAUGCCUGGAAUGGUUUAUGGUUGAAAUGAUUCGUUCGCCAUAGGAUGGGACUGCGGCCUAUCAGCUUGUUGGUGGGGUAAUGGCCCACCAAGGCGAUUACAGGUACGGGCUCUGAGAGGAGAAGCCCGGAGAUGGGUACUGAGACACGGACCCAGGCCCUAUGGGGCGCAGCAGGCGAGAAAACUUUGCAAUGUGCGAAAGCACGACAAGGUUAGUCCGAGUGAUUUCUGCUAAAGAAAUCUUUUGCAAGUCGUAAAACCACUAGUGAAUAAGGGGUGGGCAAGUUCUGGUGUCAGCCGCCGCGGUAAAACCAGCACCUCAAGUGGUCAGGAGGAUUAUUGGGCCUAAAGCAUCCGUAGCCGGCUUUGUUAGUUUUCGGUUAAAUCCAUGCGCUCAACGUAUGGGCUGCCGAGAAUACUGCAUGGCUAGGGAGUGGGAGAGGUAGACGGUACUCGGUAGGAAGGGGUAAAAUCCUUUGAUCUAUCGAUGACCACCUGUGGUGAAGGCGGUCUACCAGAACACGUCCGACGGUGAGGGAUGAAAGCUGGGGGAGCAAACCGGAUUAGAUACCCGGGUAGUCCCAGCUGUAAACUAUGCAAACUCAGUGAUGCAUUGGCUUGUGGCCAAUGCAGUGCUGCAGGGAAGCCGUUAAGUUUGCCGCCUGGGAAGUACGUACGCAAGUAUGAACUUAAGGGAAUUGGCGGGGGAGCACACAAGGGUGAAGCCUGCGUUCAAUUGGAUUCACGCCGA
rnacentral:rRNA from 1 species